rnacentral:rRNA from 1 species
ACGCGUGGGAAUCUACCCAUCUCUACGGAACAACUCCGGGAAACUGGAGCUAAUACCGUAUACGUCCUUAUGGAGAAAGAUUUAUCGGAGAUGGAUGAGCCCGCGUUGGAUUAGCUAGUUGGUGGGGUAAUGGCCUACCAAGGCGACGAUCCAUAGCUGGUCUGAGAGGAUGAUCAGCCACAUUGGGACUGAGACACGGCCCAAACUCCUACGGGAGGCAGCAGUGGGGAAUAUUGGACAAUGGGCGCAAGCCUGAUCCAGCCAUGCCGCGUGAGUGAUGAAGGCCCUAGGGUUGUAAAGCUCUUUCAACGGUGAAGAUAAUGACGGUAACCGUAGAAGAAGCCCCGGCUAACUUCGUGCCAGCAGCCGCGGUAAUACGAAGGGGGCUAGCGUUGUUCGGAAUUACUGGGCGUAAAGCGCACGUAGGCGGAUAUUUAAGUCAGGGGUGAAAUCCCGGGGCUCAACCCCGGAACUGCCUUUGAUACUGGGUAUCUCGAGUCCGAGAGAGGUGAGUGGAAUUCCGAGUGUAGAGGUGAAAUUCGUAGAUAUUCGGAGGAACACCAGUGGCGAAGGCGGCUCACUGGCUCGGUACUGACGCUGAGGUGCGA